UUUAGUAAGAAUUUAAUUUUGGUUCCGAUUGAACGCUUUCCAGUAGUUUAAGGCAUGCAAAUUAUUUUUAACAAAAGUUAACAAAGUGUAGGGGUGAGGAUAUUAAAUAAGAUACACUAUAGCCUUCAGAAAAAGAAGAUAAAAAAAAAGGAAAUUUUCUGUUAUAGGAUUCUAUUUAAUUCGAUUAGGUAGUUGAUAGGGUAACGGCCUACCAAGCCGACGAUCGAUAGCCAUGUUUGAAAGAUCAUAUGGCCACAUUGGGAAUGAGAUAUCCCAAGUAGAGAACUCUACCAGCAGUCGAGAAUAUUAGUCAAUGCUCGCAAGAGUGAACUAGCUAACUGGAAUCACGAGUGUGUCACUUGUGAUAACGUAAAGGAGAAUGAUGAUGUCACUUUACUAUUAGUGUUGUCCAAAGCUGGUGCCAGAAGACUCGGUAAUGCCAGAGACGCAAGCGUUAGUCAUCUUAAUCAGGCGUAAAGGGUGUGUAGGCAGCUUUAAAAAUCGUAUAAUUAAAGCUAGAAUCAUAUAGAGGUCACCGUGAGAUAACCCUUGGAGUAGGGUUGAUAUCUGCAAAUACUGAGUGGAAUUCUAAUUAGCGCAGGCUCUUUUCCAAAUAAUGAUUGACGCUGAGAAACGAAGGUGAGGAUCGACAAUAGGAUUAGAUACCCUGGCAUCCCUCUCUGUCAACGAUGAAUGGUGGUUGCUAGUUUUUAGGAGCUAGUGGCGAUGUUAACGCGUUAACCAUUCCGCCUUGUGAGUACAAUUGCAAAGUUGAAAACAAAAAAAUUAGUCGGUUUCGGAGCAAACGAAGUGAAGCAUGUUAUUUAAUACGAUACCCCGCGUAAAACCUUACCAGUUCUUGUAUAACACUUUUAUAUUUUUUAAUUUAUUUUAAAAUUAUAUUUAGCCCAGCCUAUCGCGCAUUUUAAUAGUUAAAUAAAAAGAAAGAAAUAAAAGGGAUAGUUUAUUUUUUAUAAUAAAAAAAUCCGGUUACAGGUGUUGCAUGGCUGUCGUCAGUCCGUAUCGAGAGAAGUGAGGUUAAUUCCGCUAACGGACGAAAUCCCUGUUUUUAAUUUAUACUUAAAAAUUUAUGAUCCUGAUAGAGUUUCAUUUGGGGCUAAGACAAGCCGUUAUGGCUCUUAUGAACUGGGCUAUAGACGUGCCACAAGAACUUUUACAAAGUGACGCAAAACCGACCUAGAAUUACUUGAAACAAAAGCCCCUAAUUUUUUGAGGAUUUAUACAGGUAUAAGGAAGAGCUAAUCAUAAAAGAAAGUUACAAUAUAACCUUUUCAAACCGGAUUGUCGUCUGCAAUUCGGUGACAUGAAGAAGGAAUUUCGAGUAAUCGUUGAUCACUAGGCGCAACGGUGAAUAUUGAAUCCGUGAUGAACUAACUGUCUGUCGCUGGGAAGAAAUUUGGGUAGGAGGAAAAUGGGGCGAAGUUAUAUCUUUUUAUAAUAGAUUGUCUAAAAAAUUUGUUACUCUAUAUUGAGCGAAUUUUAUUUCUCUUUUUAGCUUAUCAUUAUUACUAAUAUACCCUUUAUCUAGUUCGUAAAAUUAAUGAGAGGUACUAAGGUAAAAUUUUCCUAUUUUUAGACUUCUGUUGUUAAGCUAAUUAGCUUUUUUUAAUCCACUUGGGUAACAUCUCAAAAGUCAUAGCAAGGUAGCCGUACUGGAAAGUGCUGCUGGAAAUUAAACAUA
rnacentral:rRNA from 1 species